CAUCGGAACGUGCCCAGUAAUGGGGGAUAGCCCGGCGAAAGCCGGAUUAAUACCGCAUACGCCCUGAGGGGGAAAGUGGGGGACCGCAAGGCCUCACGUUAUUGGAGCGGCCGAUGGCUGAUUAGCUAGUUGGUGGGGUAAAGGCCUACCAAGGCGACGAUCAGUAGCUGGUCUGAGAGGACGAUCAGCCACACUGGGACUGAGACACGGCCCAGACUCCUACGGGAGGCAGCAGUGGGGAAUUUUGGACAAUGGGCGAAAGCCUGAUCCAGCAAUGCCGCGUGUGCGAAGAAGGCCUUCGGGUUGUAAAGCACUUUUGUUCGGGAAGAAAACGUCUGUGUUAAUACCACGGGCGGAUGACGGUACCGGAAGAAUAAGCACCGGCUAACUACGUGCCAGCAGCCGCGGUAAUACGUAGGGUGCGAGCGUUAAUCGGAAUUACUGGGCGUAAAGCGUGCGCAGGCGGCCAUGUAAGACAGGUGUGAAAUCCCCGAGCUUAACUUGGGAAUUGCAUUUGUGACUGCAUGGCUAGAGUGUGUCAGAGGGAGGUGGAAUUCCACGUGUAGCAGUGAAAUGCGUAGAUAUGUGGAGGAACACCAAUGGCGAAGGCAGCCUCCUGGGAUAACACUGACGCUCAUGC
rnacentral:rRNA from 1 species